AGAAUCAACGCUGGCGGCGUGCCUAACACAUGCAAGUCGCACGAGAAAGGGUAGCAAUACCUGAGUAAAGUGGCGCACGGGUGAGUAACACGUGACUAACCUACCCUUGAGUGGGGAAUAACUUCGGGAAACCGAGGCUAAUACCGCAUAACACCUACGGGUCAAAGGAGCAAUUCGCUUAAGGAGGGGGUCGCGGCAGAUUAGUUAGUUGGCGGGGUAAUGGCCCACCAAGACGGUGAUCUGUA
rnacentral:rRNA from 1 species